rnacentral:rRNA from 1 species
GUGUCAGCAGCCGCGGUAAUACGUAGGAUGCAAGCGUUGUCCGGAAUUACUGGGCGUAAAGGGCGAGCAGGUGGCAAGUCAAGUCUGAUGUAAAAUCUCCCGGCUUAACUGGGAGGGGCCAUUGGAAACUGACUAGCUGGAGUGCAGGAGAGGCUAACGGAAUUCCCGGUGUAGUGGUGAAAUGCGUAGAUAUCGGGAGGAACACCAGUGGCGAAGGCGGUUAGCUGGCCUGUAACUGACACUGAGGCGCGAAGGCUAGGGGAGCGAACAGGAUUAGAAACCCCAGUAGUCC